rnacentral:rRNA from 1 species
CAAAAACAUAGCCUCAGGAAUAUAUCUGAGGUUAUACCUGCCCAGUGUAUAGAUAGGAUAAACGGCCGCGGUACUUUGACCGUGCUAAGGUAGCGUAAUCAGUUGGCUUCUAAUUAGGGUCAGGAAUGAAUGGAGUUACGUGGUUCUACUGUCUCCUAGAUAUUUACUUGAAGUUACUAUAUAGAUGAAAAAGUCUAUAAUCCGAAAAAAGACGAGAAGACCCUUAGAGUUUUACUUAGUGUGGUAGUGAUUAACCAUAAUGGUUUCGUUGGGGCAACGUGGGAGCAAAAAUUAGUAAUCUCCUGAAUGAACUAACCGAUUAUUUUAAAUAUGAAAAAAUUACCUUAGGGAUAACAGCAUUAUGUAAAAAAUAAGUUUGUGACCUCGAUGUUGGACUGGGAAAUCUGAAGGCUAGCCGUUUUUAGAGAAAGUUCUGUUCGAACUAUUAUUCCCACGUGAUC